AAGAACGACUCUCGGCAACGGAUAUCUCGGCUCUCGCAUCGAUGAAGAACGUAGUGAAAUGCGAUACUUGGUGUGAAUUGCAGAAUCCCGUGAACCAUCGAGUCUUUGAACGCAAGUUGCGCCCGAAGCCAUCAGGUCGAGGGCACGUCUGCCUGGGCGUCACACGU
rnacentral:rRNA from 1 species